rnacentral:rRNA from 1 species
AGAGUUUGAUCCUGGCUCAGGAUGAACGCUAGCGGCAGGCUUAACACAUGCAAGUCGAGGGGCAGCGGGGAGGAAGCUUGCUUUCUCCGCCGGCGACCGGCGCACGGGUGAGUAACACGUAUGCAACCUGCCCCUGUCAGGGGGACAACCCGCCGAAAGGCGGGCUAAACCCGCGUACAUGCCACCGGGGCAUCCCGGAGGCAGGAAAGGCUUCGGCCGGACAGGGAUGGGCAUGCGGCGCAUUAGGCAGUAGGCGGGGUAACGGCCCACCUAACCGACGAUGCGUAGGGGUUCUGAGAGGAAGGUCCCCCACACUGGUACUGAGACACGGACCAGACUCCUACGGGAGGCAGCAGUGAGGAAUAUUGAUCAAUGGUCGGGAGACUGAACCAGCCAAGCCGCGUGAGGGAAGAAGGUACAGAGUAUCGUAAACCUCUUUUGUCAGGGAACAAAGGCGGGGACGUGUCCCCGGAUGAGUGUACCUGAAGAAAAAGCAUCGGCUAACUCCGUGCCAGCAGCCGCGGUAAUACGGAGGAUGCGAGCGUUAUCCGGAUUUAUUGGGUUUAAAGGGUGCGCAGGCGGUCUGUUAAGUCAGCGGUCAAAGCCCGGGGCUCAACCCCGGCCCGCCGUUGAAACUGGCAGUCUCGAGUUGGAGAGAAGUAUGCGGAAUGCGCGGUGUAGCGGUGAAAUGCAUAGAUAUCGCGCAGAACUCCGAUUGCGAAGGCAGCAUGCCGGCUCCACACUGACGCUGAGGCACGAAAGCGUGGGUAUCGAACAGGAUUAGAUACCCUGGUAGUCCACGCAGUAAACGAUGAAUGCUGGCUGUCCGGGGGGAUUGACCCCUGGGUGGCGAAGCGAAAGCGAUAAGCAUUCCACCUGGGGAGUACGCCGGCAACGGUGAAACUCAAAGGAAUUGACGGGGGCCCGCACAAGCGGAGGAACAUGUGGUUUAAUUCGAUGAUACGCGAGGAACCUUACCCGGGCUCAAACGGGGAGUGACUCAGGCAGAGACGCCUGUUUCCCACGGGACACUCCCCGAGGUGCUGCAUGGUUGUCGUCAGCUCGUGCCGUGAGGUGUCGGCUUAAGUGCCAUAACGAGCGCAACCCCCGCGUGCAGUUGCUAACAGAUAACGCUGAGGACUCUGCACGGACUGCCGGCGCAAGCCGCGAGGAAGGCGGGGAUGACGUCAAAUCAGCACGGCCCUUACGUCCGGGGCGACACACGUGUUACAAUGGGUGGUACAGCGGGAAGCCAGGCGGCGACGCCGAGCGGAACCCGAAAUCCACUCUCAGUUCGGAUCGGAGUCUGCAACCCGACUCCGUGAAGCUGGAUUCGCUAGUAAUCGCGCAUCAGCCAUGGCGCGGUGAAUACGUUCCCGGGCCUUGUACUCACCGCCCGUCA